UGGGGAUUCGUAUAGCGGUUAUUACAUUCGGCUUUGACCCGAAUAACGAUGGUUCGACUCCAUCAUCCCCAG
rnacentral:tRNA from 1 species